rnacentral:rRNA from 1 species
UUCGGGGCUCCUUGGUGAUUCAUGAUAACUUAACGAAUCGCAUGGCCUUGUGCCGGCGAUGGUUCAUUCAAAUUUCUGCCCUAUCAACUUUCGAUGGUAGGAUAGUGGCCUACCAUGGUUUCAACGGGUAACGGGGAAUUAGGGUUCUAUUCCGGAGAGGGAGCCUGAGAAACGGCUACCACAUCCAAGGAAGGCAGCAGGCGCGCAAAUUACCCAAUCCCGACACGGGGAGGUAGUGACAAUAAAUACUGAUGCAGAGCUCUUUUGGGUUUUGCAAUUGGAAUGAGUACAAUUUAAAUCCCUUAACGAGGAACAAUUGGAGGGCAAGUCUGGUGCCAGCAGCCGCGGUAAUUCCAGCUCCAAUAGCGUAUAUUAAAGUUGUUGCAGUUAAAAAGCUCGUAGUUGAACCUUGGGCCUGGCUGGCCGGCCCGCCUCACCGCGAGCACUGGUCCGGCCGGGCCUUUCCUUCUGGGGRCC